rnacentral:rRNA from 1 species
GACGAGCCGUGCGAACGUUGUUCGGAAUCACUGGGCUUAAAGGGCGCGUAGGCGGGCCACCAAGUCAGGGGUGAAAUCUUUCGGCUCAACCGGAAAAGUGCCUUUGAUACUGGUGGCCUCGAGGGAGGUAGGGGUCUGCGGAACUUCCGGUGGAGCGGUGAAAUGCGUAGAUAUCGGAAGGAACGCCUGUGGCGAAAGCGGCGGACUGGACCUCUUCUGACGCUGAGGCGCGAAAGCCAGGGGAGCAAACGGG